rnacentral:rRNA from 1 species
CUGGCGGCAGGCCUAACACAUGCAAGUCGAGCGCUUCCCUUCGGGGAGGAGCGGCGGACGGGUUAGUAACGCGUGGGAAUAUACCCUUCACUAAGGAAUAGCCUCGGGAAACUGAGAGUAAUACCUUAUACGCCCUUCGGGGGAAAGAUUUAUCGGUGAGGGAUUAGCCCGCGUAAGAUUAGAUAGUUGGUGGGGUAAUGGCCUACCAAGUCUACGAUCUUUAGCUGGUUUGAGAGGAUGAUCAGCAACACUGGGACUGAGACACGGCCCAGACUCCUACGGGAGGCAGCAGUGGGGAAUCUUAGACAAUGGGCGCAAGCCUGAUCUAGCCAUGCCGCGUGAGUGAUGAAGGCCUUAGGGUCGUAAAGCUCUUUCACCUGUGAAGAUAAUGACGGUAGCAGGAAAAGAAACCCCGGCUAACUCCGUGCCAGCAGCCGCGGUAAUACGGAGGGGGUUAGCGUUGUUCGGAAUUACUGGGCGUAAAGCGUACGUAGGCGGAUUAAUCAGUCAGAGGUGAAAUCCCAGGGCUCAACCCUGGAACUGCCUUUGAUACUGUUAGUCUUGAGUUCGAGAGAGGUGAGUGGAAUUCCAAGUGUAGAGGUGAAAUUCGUAGAUAUUUGGAGGAACACCAGUGGCGAAGGCGGCUCACUGGCUCGAUACUGACGCUGAGGUACGAAAGUGUGGGGAGCAAACAGGAUUAGAUACCCUGGUAGUCCACACCGUAAACGAUGAAUGCCAGUCGUCGGGUAGCAUGCUGCUCGGUGACACACCUAACGGAUUAAGCAUCCG